ensembl:lncRNA
AAAGGUGAGAGGGAGGAGAGAGGGAAGUAGAGAUGAAGAGAGAAAGAGACAGAGAGAGACAGAGACACAGAGAGAGAGACAGAGAGAGAGAGACAGAGAGAGACAGAGAGAGAGAGAGAGAGAGAGAGAGAGAGAGAGAGAGAGAGAGAGAGAGAGAUUGAGUUUAUUCCCUACUCCAUAUCUGUUCUUUUCAGAUGACUCUCACUGACCCCUGGUUCAGCUGGAUUUUUCUUCUCCUCCUGGCCUGCUUACAGGACCAGCCGGUUUCAGCUGACUUCAAGGAAAAAACACCUAUCAGACCCAAGUGGCCAGGCAAGAAAGCCAGCCCUGUGACUCUCAGGAAUUACUGGAGGUCCAUGAGGCGCUUUUUGGAUUACCAAGAGAGGUUCUUAAGGAGAAGGCCAAAGAGAUUGGUGAUCCAGCACUCCAAAGACCUGACCUCUCCUUUACUCCCUAAUUUAUGGAUUCCAGAAAGACCUCACCCCAUCAAACCUCUGAUGUCCAUUCUUUCCCCUGAUAAAAAGUUCAAUCAUGGAAGCAAGUGGAUCUCUGGAUUGUCUCCCUCUCUCCCUACACGGUCAGAACUUCUCUCUGGUGAAUGGCCAGAUUCUUUGUCUGGGACAUAGACAAUAAAAUGGAAUCUCUGGCAGAGUUUCUGGGCUUUUCAGGGGGCUGUCAUAGGGGAAGGAACCUGUCUCCCUAGGGGCUGAGAGUCAUAGGUACUAGGGGAUCUUUUGGAGGAUGCAUAGGAAAGAAAGCUGAAAGACUCAUCUUUACCUUUUGACUCUUUACAGAGUUCAAUGUAAGGGAAGGAAGACUGAUUUUAAAGUCCAAAGACUUAGAUUCUAAUUUUCUCUCUGGCACUAAGUAACUCUGGACUUGUUUCUUCUCUGUGUCUCAGUUUCCUCAUCAGUAAAAUGAGGAGAUUAGAACCUUUAGGGCACUUGCCAAUUCUGAUAUUCUAUGGCAAGUCUUGAAUCAGGAUAUAGGGUGAGGAAAGGGUGGGAGAUGAAACUCCAGAGAUGUCAAGAUUAGUUAGGGAUAUGGGGGAGGGGGUCUUAGGUGAACACUAGUCUCAUCCAGAGCUUGGGCCAGGAUGAGCCAGAGUGGCUCAGAUGGGCUUACUGAAGAUGUGAGAGAGUGCUCAAAUAGAGAUUGUGUUCUUGGGUCUGAGAACUGGGUAAAUAUAGGAAGGAGGUGCCCUCCAUUACCCUAUUGACCUCAUGCUAUACUCCAGAUACCCUCAGAGCUCCAGUUCUUGUUCCUUAACCAGACUCCUUCCCUUCCAGCAGCCUUUGUGAUUCUCUGGAAUUCCCUCUCUUUCUUUUGUCCCCUCCUUCCCUCAAAUUCCUGGUCUGAGGGUCAUCAUCAUCUUUGUUCAGGAUCCUUGGUGGAUGUUGUAAAAGAGGCAAAUUUCAGACCAUAGUCAAAAAUUUGAAUGGACUACCUUGGGUGAGAGGCUGCCCAUUGCUGAUUUUCCCUUCCUCCACCCACAUCUUUAGGCAUGGAUGGAUAUUUUAGUCUAGAUGUUGUUUUUUUCUUUGUUCUCCGAGAAGACCAUGACAUCAGAAAGGUGAUACAUGACUUGCAAGUGAAUUGGAUUUAAGUGAGAGAGGCCUGUGCAAAGUCAUCAGCCUCACUAUCUUAUCUAGAGUUAUCUAAGUUCAGUGGAUCAGAAUGACUCUCCAGUCUUCCAUGGCCCUGAUUCAGUGGCCAAUUAACCUUCUUAAGUUAAGGUCUUUUCCAGGUCUCAGUUUAACCAAGACAAUGUCUAUUCAAUGAUUUAAGAUAAGUAAGAAAUGAGGCAGAGAAUGACCUCUUUUACCUAGU